AGUGAACGCUGGCGGCAGGCCUAACACAUGCAAGUCGAGCGGCAGCGCGUCCGACCACCCUCGGGUGGUCGGAUGGCGGCGAGCGGCGGACGGGUGAGGAAUGCAUCGGAAUCUGCCUCGUUGUGGGGGAUAACGUAGGGAAACUUACGCUAAUACCGCAUACGACCUACGGGUGAAAGUGGGGGACCUUCGGGCCUCACGCGAUGAGAUGAGCCGAUGCCGGAUUAGCUAGUUGGCGGGGUAAAGGCCCACCAAGGCGACGAUCCGUAGCUGGUCUGAGAGGAUGAUCAGCCACACUGGAACUGAGACACGGUCCAGACUCCUACGGGAGGCAGCAGUGGGGAAUAUUGGACAAUGGGCGAAAGCCUGAUCCAGCAAUGCCGCGUGAGUGAUGAAGGCCUUAGGGUUGUAAAGCUCUUUUACCUAGGGAUGAUAAUGACAGUACCUGGAGAAUAAG
rnacentral:rRNA from 1 species